rnacentral:rRNA from 1 species
GCUAAACGCGAAGAACCUUACCUGGGCUUGACAUGCAUCUCUAAGCGCGUGAAAGCGCGUGACCCUUCGGGGGAUUUGCACAGGUGCUGCAUGGCCGUCGUCAGCUCGUGUCGUGAGAUGUUGGGUUAAGUCCCGCAACGAGCGCAACCCUUGUGACUAGUUGCCAGCACGUUAUGGUGGGAACUCUAGUCAGACUGCCCAGAUCAACUGGGAGGAAGGUGGGGACGACGUCAGGUCAGUAUGGCCCUUACGCCCAGGGCUGCACACGUACUACAAUGCCCAGCACAAUGAGAACCGAGACCGCGAGGUGGAGGAAAUCUAUAAAACUGGGCCCAGUUCGGAUUGGAGGCUGCAACUCGCCUCCAUGAAGUUGGAAUCGCUAGUAAUGGCGCAUCAUCUACGGCGCCGUGAAUACGUUCCCGGGUCUUGUACACACCG